GAUCAUAUGUUGUCAAGUUGCAGAGACUUUGGAUCAACUCACAGAUUUGGGAAAGAAUGUGACUAUAAACUGUGAUCUGGAUGAAGAAGAGAUUUUUUGGUUAUUACUGAAAACACCAGAUCCUCCUGUGAUGAUAUUACGCACUUUAUCAUCAACAGCAUUUCUCUUUAACAAAACAUUCAGACACAAAUAUUCACUUCAAUCUAAAAAUCAUCUGUUUAUAAAUAACAUCACUAUUGAUGAAUUAGGAGUUUAUUACUGUAUGAAGACAGAUACACAUCCAAAAUUCAGCAAUGGCACCAGACUACAUAUAAAUGAGCCAACAGAAAGCCCAAACCAAGUAACUUAUAUACAGCCGAAUCAUACAGAAGUGAAAAACAUUCAACAGACUCAGACAUCAUGUCAGAUUCUUACCAUCAUACUUGGUCUGCUUAAUGGUGUUUUGUUCAUUGUGAUCAUAGGUGAGUAAAUUAAAGUUCAGGUUCUAAAUAUAAACAUCAUGUUAAAUCUGAUUUGUUUGUGUUUUUCUGAAGGAUUAUUAAAGGUUUUCAUUGUUGGAAAUAAAAGAUUUGAAGAUUGUUCACAACAACUUCAUGACACUGAACUACAGCAGGUGACCUACAGAUGUUUAUCAGCGAGUCCCAAACCAGUUACAGUUAACAGAAGUGAACUUUUUGAAGCUGCAUAAAAGUCUAAUGUUGCCAUCUCACAGUUUAUACUAACUCUUAUUGAUACUGGAUUAUUGCACACCACUCAUUUACUAUGUCUCUUAAGAGUCUGAGACUGUAAAGUGUCUGCUAAAUGCAAAAUGUCUAUAAGUGAUCAGACUGAAGUACUUUACAUGUACUGUAGUAUAGAUCAUAGUUUCAUAUAUGAAAGUCUUCUUGGUUAACAAUCAUUUUUACUUGAUUCUUAUGAUUUUGGCACAGCAAAGCCAUAAUGUAGCUGACAGUUUUAGCCUUAACAUCCACUCAGAUGUUGGAAAAUGAAGAUUUUAGUAUUUUAAUAAUGUACUGGUAAUGUAAUGUACUGGAUCUGUGACUGUUGAUUUUGAAGUUACUUUAUAGUAUAGCCUAUGUGUUGUAUAUUUCUUUGUCAAACGGUAGCUUGAUUAAAAAACAUUAAAUGAUUAAAGCUUAAUAAUGUCUGUUUUGGUCAAUAUUUGGAUUACUGAUGUUUCUCAGUGUGGUUUUCUUAAUAAAUAGUUUUAUUAAACUUGGU